AGCUCUGUAGUGAAGUUCAUAUUAGAUUGCAAAUCUGAAGACGUAGGUUGAACACCUGCCGGGGCUU
rnacentral:tRNA from 1 species